CAGUAGCCACGGGAAUACGAACCGUGCGAACGUUAUUCGGAAUUACUGGGCUUAAAGCGCGUGUAGGCGGGCCGCCACGUCGGUUGCUGAAAUCCCCCGGCUCAACCGGGGAAGUGGCAUCGAUACGAGCGGCCUUGAGGGGGGUGGGGGGAUCUGGAACUUCCGGUGGAGCGGUGAAAUGCGUUGAGAUCGGAAGGAACGCCCGUGGCGAAAGCGAGGUCCUGGACCCUUUCUGACGCUGAGACGCGAAAGCCAGGGGAGCGAACGGGAUUAGAUACCCCAGUAGUCCCUGUCUCUUAUA
rnacentral:rRNA from 1 species